rnacentral:misc_RNA from 1 species
AAAUAUUCAUCAAGUCCUAAAGUUCUGUAACAUCGUUAUUGCUUCCAUAGUUUGCUGAUCUGAAAUGGCAAAGAGAUUCUCAACAGAAUCAUUACAGCCUAUAUAAAAACUUAUCUCUUCUUAUAAUUAUUGUCAUGUCAUUUGCAUCUCUAUAAUUAGCUCCUUUAGUGCAUGCUGGCAUUACCUUUUGACGAGUGGUGUUGAUCCUUUCCUUUGAAGUGGUCUCAAUUUUUCAUAGAUGAUUUUUUUUCCCAUUAUUUGUCAUAUUUUGCUUAUUGGGAUUUAUUACUUAUCUAAAUUAUGAGAUUACUUUCCAUUAAUCUCCCAACUUCUGAUUCUUUCUAGUAUGGUGCAAAAUGCGACUUAUAGACACAUUAUUUUCUAAAUUUGGCAUUAAUGGAGUUUGCCAAACAUGCACAUAGUUGGAAUCAAGCUUCAUGCAAUCAUCAACAUCAAUAAUGCAUAAAGAUUCCAGCUGGCUUGACAAAACCUAGUGCUUCUUUUCUAUUCUUCUUCGGCUUUUAACAAUAAAUAAAGAAUUCCUUGUUUGAUUUUUGUUUUCUUCUCACUUUUUUAGAGAUUGGAAUGAAAAAUUAUGAUUCUGGCAUUGUUUUUACUUAAAUCUUGUAUGUGAAGUAAUUAUACCUUCCUGCUUUCCUUGUAUGACUUUCAGAAAUUUUAUGCGAUGCCAGUGAACAUGUUUUGGAAGAAUCUUGUUUGCUUGGAACCAGAAACAUGAUCUUUUGUUUUUGAGUUUGCUUUUAGAGUUGCACAUUUUGUUUUCAAUGUUUAUUUUUCAAAUUUGUAUUUAUUAUUUCUAGAAAAUUGUG